rnacentral:rRNA from 1 species
UAGGGAAUCUUCCGCAAUGGGCGAAAGCCUGACGGAGCAACGCCGCGUGAGUGAUGAAGGUCUUCGGAUCGUAAAACUCUGUUAUUAGGGAAGAACAAAUGUGUAAGUAACUAUGCACGUCUUGACGGUACCUAAUCAGAAAGCCACGGCUAACUACGUGCCAGCAGCCGCGGUAAUACGUAGGUGGCAAGCGUUAUCCGGAAUUAUUGGGCGUAAAGCGCGCGUAGGCGGUUUUUUAAGUCUGAUGUGAAAGCCCACGGCUCAACCGUGGAGGGUCAUUGGAAACUGGAAAACUUGAGUGCAGAAGAGGAAAGUGGAAUUCCAUGUGCAGCGGUGAAAUGCGCAGAGAUAUGGAGGAACACCAGUGGCGAAGGCGACUUUCUGGUCUGUAACUGACGCUGAUGUGCGAAAGCGUGGGGAUCAAACAGGAUUAGAUACCCUGGUAGUCCACGCCGUAAACGAUGAGUGCUAAGUGUUAGGGGGUUUCCGCCCCUUAGUGCUGCAGCUAACGCAUUAAGCACUCCGCCUGGGGAGUACGACCGCAAGGUUG